rnacentral:rRNA from 1 species
UACAGAGGUCUCAAGCGUUGUUCGGAUUCAUUGGGCGUAAAGGGUGCGUAGGCGGCGCGGUAAGUCGGGUGUGAAAUCUUGGAGCUUAACUCCGAAACUGCAUUCGAUACUACCGUGCUUGAGGACUGGAGAGGAGACUGGAAUUUACGGUGUAGCGGUGAAAUGCGUAGAUAUCGUAAGGAAGACCAGUGGCGAAGGCGGGUCUCUGGACAGUUCCUGACGCUGAGGCACGAAGGCCAGGGGGAGCAAACGGG